CAGAGACACAGAGUGUUAGUGAUCAUCAGAGAUCUUCAACCAGGUCAUCGCAGGUGAUCAGCAUGCUGAGAGAAAGAGACACAGAGUGUUAAUGAUCAUCAGAGAUCUUCAACCAGGUCAUCGCAGGUGAUCAGCAUGCUGAGAGACAGAGACACAGAGUGUUAAUGAUCAUCAGAGAUCUUCACCAGGUCAUCGCAGGUGAUCAGCAUGCUGAGAGAUAGAGACACAGAGUGUUAAUGAUCAUCAGAGAUCUUCAACCAGGUCAUCGCAGGUGAUCAGCAUGCUGAGAGACAGAGACACAGAGUGUUAAUGAUCAUCAGAGAUCUUCACCAGGUCAUCGCAGGUGAUCAGCAUGCUGAGAGACAGAGACACAGAGUGUUAAUGAUCAUCAGAGAUCUUCACCAGGUCAUCGCAGGUGACCAGCAUGCUGAGAGACAGAGACACAGACUGACAGAGAGUGCUAAUGAUCGUUUACCCUGGCCUCUCUGAAUCAAUCAAAACUCAAAAAAUCAAUCAAUCAAAACUUUUAUUUAUCCAGAUGAGGGCAAUCAUCCCCUCACUGCUAUAGUAUAAGGAAGAUAUCAGAAGUCAAGUUGCCAUGAAGGAAAGCUGUGUGCAAUAGAAAACCUGCAGCUUGGUUUCUGGCGCAAACUUGGUGGUAAAUGCAGGACGGUAUUAUCUGGAGAUCCAGCUGGGCUGUACCACCUAUGCUGACUGCGGGGGGGAGAGCGGACUCACUUGGGGGACUUGAGGUCCCGGUGGAUGAUCUUGUGCAGGUUUCGGAUGUCCGUCUCCUUGAGCUCCCGGACCUUCUUCACAGCCACCUCCUCGCCGUGCAACUUCCCCAAAAAC